rnacentral:tRNA from 1 species
GGGGGUGUAGCUCAGCGGUAGAGCACUUGGUUUGCAACCAAGGGGUCGCGGGUUCGAUCCCCGCCACCUCCA